AGAUCUGGGACAAUCAUCUGGUUCCAUAUCACAAAGCGCCUCGAUUCCUCCCUCCCAUCUUGGAAUGUCACAAUCUCUCCGGAAACUUCUUAGAGGUGCCUGGAUAGGUAACAUGCCUGAAAACGUAACAUCUGAUGAUGAAUGAGUUCCUGAAUUUGUUUCAUUUAAAGAAUGUUUAACAGUACCUGUUUCUCAUAUUUAUAUGUAGCUAUGCCAAUUCUUAAAAGUUUAAGAUUUUAUUUUACUUUAUUUUUCUUUAGAAGAUAUUGAUUGUGUGGAUUCUAUAGACUUUUUUUUCGAGUUCCCCAAUGUGUUUCACUAGAAAAGGUGGACUUUGCCCUCCUUGAGUAAUUAAUGAACUAGCCAUUGUAGGAUCCAGGUUCUAGAACUGCCUUUUCUUCUGUCCAUCCACUAGACAGUGCAAAUUCGUGGAUGUAAUAAGUCCACAGUCUGUAUUUUCCUCAUCUUCCCCAUGGCUUUUUUUAUCUGGCUUAUGGUCUGUAGAUAUUCACCACAUCCCGAAUAACACAAUUAUCUGGAAGUGAAAUCUGUUUGUGUUUUUAAUCCACACAGGCAGUUUCCCAUUAUAAGAAAGCUUUCACAGUUGAGUACUACCAAUCUCUUGUGUUCUUGAAAAUGAUUGGUGAUUAAAAUCACCCUGUUUGCAAGCCGCUGCCCACUGCUGCUCUCCACAGAGGAUAAUAAACUACUAUACACAGAAAUAUUAAGAUACCACUUAGACUAUUAGAAUUUAAACCACUUCAUGGGGCUGAGGCACAGGGGCCCUUUCAGCCCCAGUGCUAGUUAUCUCAAAAUUGGUAAUGGGCCUAGCUUAACUCGGUGUUCCCCUGGGGCCCAGGCUGCCUCCUGCAGUGUGGUGUGAAACUCAACUGUAAUUUGUUGUGACUGAUCCCAAAUGCAAGUGUUAACAGUGGCUACUUGCCAUGAGUAGGCAAGUGAGAGUAAGUGUUGUUUAUCCAGACAAGAAGUGAUACCAAAAUGAGACUUGGAGGUGUGAUUCUAAUUUGCACCUCCAUUUCAUUUGCCCGGAGGAACUACGUUCUUUGUCAUUAUUUCUGAAUAUAUCUAGUGACAGGGGAAGGCCUAACCAAAUGCACUGCUAACAGAUGUGGCAGUCACACUUCUGUGCAGCCCCUCGUUUUGUUCAUUCAUGUUUUCUUCAAAAUCGCCAUGUGCUUUGGAGAAAAGGCCCAUACCAGCAUUGCCCAAACUAUCAGCCAAGUAGGAAAGAGGAGUAAUGAUGCCAGUGAGCAUUUUGAAACAUAGUUGUUGUCCUGUAUCUGUUUUAUAGUGUAAUACUGUAUUUUACAUUGCACUAUGUGAAAUAUCCUUAUGAUGGAAAGGUGGGAAAAAGCGAAGAAUGUAUGUGUAAUAGGAAAGAUAGUAAAAUAUUUCUGACACUUUUAAGUGGCCUAUUCCAGAGACUCCAAAAGUUUAUUUCAUGAAACACUAGCCCUACAGAACAUUGCACUUUAUGAAAAAUAAUUCAGUGGUAAAAUGUUUAAGAAGAUUCAGAAUACGUGUCAGAAUAAAAUACUGCAGAAAAGCAGUCCAUCUCACUUUUACUUAACUCUGUACUUCCUGUACUUGUUUGCUCAGAGAAAACUUUUCCAUCUGCCGCUUAAUGAAUUAACACUUUCGGAAAUGCCGCCCUGUCCUGAUUGUUAGGAUGGACAUUUGUUGUUACAUUUGUCAGCUUUUGUGGCCCUGCGUUCUUGGCUAGACCAGUGGUGUACUCGGGUGCAACAGUUUUCAGGAAGAAUAUUCGUGACAUCGGCAUCGUUUUUUACUGUUGUGAUAGACUUGAAACAGCUCUAUGCUAAGGAAAACCAAGGGUAAGUUCAGGGAAUAAAGUAUAAUUGGAGUCAAGCUGAGACCAUUGUAUUUCUCAUGCAUGGACUUGAGGAGAGAGGGGCAAGUCUUGCUAGAAACCUCAUCUUAGCAGCUGUGGGUGUCUCUGCUAGUCAAAUGCUGAGGAAUGCUUUUACUCUGUAGUCUUGCUUAUUAGAAAGCCAUGUUGGAGGUUUUCAGGCAAAUGGAGACAUUUCUUCAUUUCUAGCACUUACCGCGUAUUGUGGAAAUAAAGCUUUAGGAGUGGCAGGAUCGAUGAAUGCCCUCUUUCUCUUUGUGGAUUUUAGCAAUAUCUCACAAAUAUAUACUUUGAGUCAAAAAAGACGUAUUGUGUAACAAGAACUGAAUACAAACUGCACUGAGUUGCCUUGUAAAAAUGCAAGGCUGGAAAAUGUAUUUCCAGCGACUCAAAAGCAGCUGUGGCUUCGCUGGCUAGCAUUUAAUCACUUUAGAGUGUGACCCACAGAAUUGGUUUUCUUACUGUCCUCUGACAGACAUAUCACCCCAACAUUAUAUCAGAGAGUUGAAAGAUAAACAGCCUGCGCAGUGAUGUGUGGGGCUAGGCAAGAAGAGUGCCUGUUUCGUGCUGGUUGCUGUUUUGAAGUUUGCACCUCAGAGUGUCGCUUUGUGAAGAGAAUUAUAUUCAAAGGGGAAGUGCCCAGAUGUAAUCGCUGUUAAGUCAAGGAUCUUUGUCAAGAGAUCUUGGGGGCGGCAUCACCACUGAUACUCCCGUUGGCCUGUGUGAGCAGAAAGUUAGGCAGGUAUAAAAAUAAGUGCCUUGUUUUUCCAAAACUUAGCCCUUUGCAGCAUGAAGUUCACACUGAAAAAGUGAAAGAAUUAAGCGUCUCUCAGUGGAGCAGGUCCGAGGGGUCCUCUUACUUGGCAUGAAAAUUGGUGUGCGGGAAAUGAACACAUUUCACACUCCAGUCACAUGUUCUGCAUUCGAGAACCAGGUGAGCAGAACGCUAUCCCAGGCACAUACUGGCCCCGAGAUCUUUGAGGGUCUGUGGUUUUCCGUGUGUAGAGCAGGUCUAGCGAAGGAAGAUUUCCCAGGGCCCAGUUCCCAGACUUGCUGGCAGGUUUCUGAUAACCAUGCUUGGCCUCGCUGGGGACUUUCAGGUGUAGAGAGACAAACUCAUGUAACUAGGGAUGACAGGUUAUUUUAUCUUCAAUAAAGUUGCAGCAUGCCCUGAGAUUGGACUGUUCUACCUAAAUUAAAGAUGUUCUUUCUGUUACAGUUUGUGAAGCAGGAGAGAGGCUCGGAAGAUGUUGGACCACAACAGUUAGAAGCUCAUCAACUUCACUACUAACCGACCACAAACAAAUCAGUGAACACCUGGCCUACUUUCUCUCUGCCUUCUGUGCUGUGUGGAAGUAUGAGCUCUCUUAUGGGCCAAUGUGAGGAAUGGAAAGUAAGCUUUAACUGGGUGGAAGCUGCCAACGGUAGCUGUAGGUCACAGGGCAAAAACAGUUUUUACUAGUAAAAGGUGACAGUAAGCCGAUGAGCUCUCAAAUCCUACUUCUCUGAGCAUAGAUUCCUCUUGUUAAAGCUUGUACCCAUUAAUUUUCUCCCCCACCAUUGAUCUACCCCUGCUUUCUGAUUCAGGAGAAGCCACUGAGUGAAGGAGGAAAUCGAAUAGUUAAGUUGAUUCGUUCAGCUUAAACCUUUAAGUAUCUACCAUGUACUGGGAACUAAAGGUACCCAACACCUUAAGCUAUGUACAGCCUGGUAGUGGGGAGACAGUCCCUGCUGUGAAUUAGAAAAGAUGUGCAACCCCUGUGCCAGUUUAUUCUGCAGUCUCUGAAAAACCAUGUUGGGGCUCAUAGGUCCAUCUCAUCUAACGCUUAGGCAACUCUUGGCAGGGCCAUCAUCAGAGGGUUUAAGUUCUCCAGGGAUUGUCUUCUGGCUUGGUUCAGCCACUGUGGCCCCUGAGAGGGGACGUUCUGUGUUAGGCCUGGAGCGCCUGCCUCCACACAGGGCUGGGGGUCGUUCCCUUGGUCACCUCUUGGCGUGGCUGAGUUGUUCUACAAAGAGAAGCCCAUCCACAGGGAUGCUCCAGUGCCCAUUGACAAGAUAGCAGCAAAAGCCACCCAGCCUGCUUUGUGGAUGCUAACGGCAGUGUUCCUGUGUCCUUGGGGGCGCUACGCCUGUGUGUUGAAUAUCCUCCAAUAGGUAUACAUUUGAAACAUUUAAAAUUUUUUCAUUUUGGGAAAAAUAUCUGAGCAUUUAUGGUUGGGACACAAUUUCCUAAAACUGAAAUUGUUUGAGAUUCACUUUAUUAGAGAGUAUAUUUAUGUAAAUGUGAAUGCAACGUCAUGAUUUAA